GUCGGACGGCAGCGCGGGCUUCGGCCUGGCGGCGAGUGGCGAACGGUGAGUAAUACAUCGUAACGUGUCCUGGAGUGGGGGAUAGCCCGGCGAAAGCCGGAUUAAUACCGCAUACGCUCUGAGGAGGAAAGCGGGGGAUCUUUCCGGACCUCUCGCUCAAGGGGCGGCCGAUGGCACAUUAGGUAGUUGGUGGGGUAAAGGCCUACCAAGCCUACGAUCUGUAUCUGGUCUGACAGGACGACCAGCCACACUGGGACUGAUACACGGCCCAUACUCCUACGGGAGGCAUCAGUGGGGAAUUUUGGACAAUGGGGGCAACCCUGAUCCACCAAUGCCGCGUGUGUGAAGAAGGCCUUCGGGUUGUAAAGCACUUUUGUCCGGAAAGAAAACUUCCUGGUUAAUACCUGGGGAGGCUGACGGUACCGGAAGAAUAACCACCGGCUAACUACGUGCCAGCAGCCGCGGUAAUACUUACGGUGCGAGCGUUAAUCGGAAUUAC
rnacentral:rRNA from 1 species